rnacentral:rRNA from 1 species
UGGGGAAUUGUUCGCAAUGGGCGCAAGCCUGACGACGCAACGCCGCGUGGAGGAUGAAGAUCUUCGGAUCGUAAACUCCUGUCGAGCGGGACGAACGGUCCCGCACCUAAUACGUGUGGGAAGUGACGGUACCGCUAAAGGAAGCCCCGGCUAACUCCGUGCCAGCAGCCGCGGUAAUACGGGGGGGGCAAGCGGUGUUCGGAAUUACUGGGCGUAAAGGGCUCGUAGGCGGCCAACUAAGUCGGACGUGAAAUCCCUCGGCUCAACCGGGGAACUGCGUCCGAUACUGGAUGGCUUGAAUCCGGGAGAGGGAUGCGGAAUUCCAGGUGUAGCGGUGAAAUGCGUAGAUAUCUGGAGGAACACCGGUGGCGAAGGCGGCAUCCUGGACCGGCAUUGACGCUGAGGAGCGAAAGCCAGGGUAGCAAACGGG